UCUUCAUUUUACGGACUCUCUCACCGGUCAGAGAAGCGAGAGAGCACGCAAAAUGAGGAGA
rfam:Pristionchus pacificus strain PS312 contig7634, whole genome shotgun sequence.